rnacentral:rRNA from 1 species
UACGAAGGGGGCUAGCGUUGUUCGGAUUUACUGGGCGUAAAGCGCACGUAGGCGGAUCGUUAAGUCGGGGGGUGAAAUCCUGGAGCUCAACUCCAGAACUGCCUUUGAUACUGAGGAUCUUGAGUUCGGGAGAGGUGAGUGGAACUGCGAGUGUAGAGGUGAAAAUUCGUAGAUAUUCGCAAGAACACCAGUGGCGAAGGCGCCUAUCUGGCUGACAACUGACGCUGAGACUCGAAAGCAUGGGGGAGCAAAACAGG